rnacentral:rRNA from 1 species
AUUGAACGCUGGCGGCAUGCUUUACACAUGCAAGUCGAACGGCAGCGCGGGCUUCGGCCUGGCGGCGCGUGGCGAACGGGUGAGUAAUGCAUCGGAACGUGCCCAGCAGUGGGGGAUAGCCCGGCGAAAGCCGGAUUAAUACCGCAUACGACCUGAGGGUGAAAGCGGGGGACCGAAAGGCCUCGCGCUAUUGGAGCGGCCGAUGUCGGAUUAGCUAGUUGGUGGGGUAAAGGCUUACCAAGGCGACGAUCCGUAGCUGGUCUGAGAGGACGACCGGCCACACUGGGACUGAGACACGGCCCAGACUCCUACGGGAGGCAGCAGUAGGGAAUUUUGGACAAUGGGGGCAACCCUGAUCCAGCCAUGCCGCGUGCGUGAAGAAGGCCUUCGGGUUGUAAACCGCUUUUGUUCGGGAAGAAAUCCUCUGGGCUAAUACCCCGGGGGGAUGACGGUACCGGAAGAAUAAGCAACGGCUAACUACGUG